UACAGAGGUCCCGAGCGUUGUUCGGAUUCACUGGGCGUAAAGGGUGCGUAGGUGGCAUGGUAAGUUUGAUGUGAAAGCUCAGGGCUCAACCCUGAAAUGGCAUUGAAUACUACUGUGCUGGAGGUUUGGAGGGGGGACUGGAAUUCUUGGUGUAGCAGUGAAAUGCGUAGAUAUCAAGAGGAACACCAGUGGCGAAGGCGAGUCCCUGGACAUUUCCUGACGCUGAGGCACGAAAGCCAGGGGAGCAAACGGG
rnacentral:rRNA from 1 species